GAUGCAUAGUUUAACAUCAAAUACCCUAUUGAGUGUUAAUCACAUUAAAGGAAUGGGCAUUCAUGGAGGAGGAGAAAGGUGAACCCAUACUAAAGUGCUGCUCCUGGACAACAAAUAGAUCACUGGAACACUGAACAAUAAAGACCAAUUACUUCGUUAUAGGAGCAGUUUGUCUGAAAACCAGAUCCCUUUGCAAAUCCUCCUCUCCCCGCCUUCCAGAGAAAACCACACACCCCUGACAGAAGCCACCCGAAACAUGAAAGUCCAUGUGAGAGAUAUUUAGAUAGACUGCAUUCACUGUGUAUCUUAAAGCUUUACAUCUAGAGAAGCAAGUUUUAGCCUAAAGCACGUCUGUCUGUUUACGAACACCUUCAGGUGACUAUGAAGAUAAUGGAAUUGCUGAUACACUGCUCAUAGCUGCUUGGGUAACCAUUCUUUUAUUAUCAGGAAGGCAAAUGCAAUUUUUAAGAUCAAAGUGGACAUCUCUUGGAAGCUCCAUUUAUUACAAAAGGCUAAAGUGUCCACAUUCCUAGGAAUCAAAGGGACUGAAAAGCCAGAACAGCAGUAGUAUUCAAGAGGCAAAUGCAAUUUUUGACAGAGAGCAACCACCGAAGUCGGUGACAGGAA